GGUACAUUUGCACAGUAAUACUACUACUACCACCACUACUACUACUACUACUACUACUACUACUACUACUACUACUACUAAUACAGUGGCCCAAUCCCAAAGUGAGCCCUGAGGACUAAGGACUCUCACACUUAAUUGAUCUCAGGUGCUAAGUGAGUGAGUGUGUGGGGCCAUAUGGGCAGGAGAUCACAGGUUAUCUUGGUGAUGUUUAAUAACAAAAGCUGCUGCCGACCCCCGCCGGUUUGGGUAUUUUCAUUUUAAGUUUGUUGUUUUCCACACGGCCAAGGCACAGGAGACGGCUGGCUGAUUUCAACUUUUUUCAAAUUCUUGUUUUAUAAGCUGGACAACGGGUCCGUUCCGUGGACAUCUGUCGUGCUGUUUACCUUUUUUGUAAUUUCCGGAUUUCCGCGGUAAACGUCGCUUUGAACUGUGGGUAAUUCCCUUUGGUGAAGUCUGCAUCGGUGCAGACUCACGGAAAGAGUUUGGUAAGCGGGUACUCAAACCCUCACGCUCCUUUUGAAAUUCGACAUUGGGACAACCCUAAGCCCUUACGGAUUUUGCGAGAACUCGCACCAAAGUCUGUGUCCAGACUUUGGGAUUGGGCCAUCGUUUGCUUAUGUAAAGUUUUCAAUGCACACUAAUCCCCUCAUAAAAAGUGGUUUAAACCCGUGGCCUUAUUAACACUUAAAGUCAAACAUUUAGUUGUAAGCAAUUUAGGUAGGUUAAACUAUCUGGUAGAAAACCUAAUUAUCUCAAAUAAAAGUCUACAUACUUGCUUUUAUUGAAGCUUUUACGUAGGGCUACAAGGAUUAUCUGCCAAUGACUUAUUUUUAAGAUUGACUGAACAGAGAAUGUUCCGUCAAGUUUAGAGCUGAAACUGUUCAAUUAAUAAGUCGAUCAGAAAAGUAUCAGUCGUCUUAGAGUUGUCGUAAAAAUGCAAAACAUUGUCUGGCUCUAGCUUCUCAAAUGUUGUAUUAUGAAUAUAUUUUGAGUUUGGACUCUUGGUGGGAUUAAGAAAGCUAUUUGAAUACUCUACCUUGGGUUUGGUCAAGUUAAAUAUUUUGACUUCUCUGCUCGCUUGCAAACAUUUUCUCCUUUUAUGUCACUUACUGGAUCUUAAUUUUGGACAAUGCAAGACAUAUGUAGAUGUCAAUUAGGAAUAAGUAGUUUGAGCCGAAGGUUUAGGACAGUAGUUACAUGUAGCCUUGUCAAUUCUUGACAUUUCACUUCCGGGAUUGCUCUGGUGCCGCAGGAAUGCAUUUAUCUUUGCCGAUUUUUUUCCCCCAUUUCAUUUUUUGGGAAUUUUUUAAAAUCCUGUGGAUUUAUGAGGACCAUGGUUAACUGCUCCUCAGAUCUCUGUUGGGUAAAUUGAGACGGCUAGCUAGACUAUCUGUCCAAUCGGAGUUCUCUCACACCGCUAUUUUGCAGCGGCUCCGUACGGAGCUUAGCGUUGCCCAUGACGAUUGUAAUUGGUUUAAAAAAAUGCCAAUAAGCCAGAGUACGUUUUUCUCCCAUCCCAGAAUGCAAUGUGGAGUAGCGAGACCCUUCGCAGCGUGUGGAUGGUCUGGCAAAGCGAGACCACAUGCAGCCAGACCCUGACAUUUCAGAUGCCUGAAACAGCCACCAAGCAUUGUGUCUACUGAAACAAAGCUGCAGUCUGCAUGUACACACAUGACUAAGAUCAGAGGGAAGUAACUAGACAAGAAUCCAGACUCAGCCUAUGUUUUUAUUCUAAUUAAAUGAAAACGAGAGAUUCUGCAUCCAUUUAAUGGCUCCUGUGGGGUCACGUAAUGGAGUCUGUGUGUCAAAAGAGCUCAGGCUGUACGUGUGGCCACAUGUUAAAUCACAGUUGAAUGGGUUGUUAUGUCAACUUAGGCCUUACGCUUUGUUCAGCUGUUUGGGAAUGCCGUUCUCAGCAGCGAUCUGAUAGCCGGGGUUACGUUAAUACUGUAACACUAUCAGUUGGCACGAGGUUGUGUUUUGCUUCAUUUGUUCAUGGUUAUGUUGACGUUUGGUUAGGCCCAUCUGAGGCAAUAAGGUUGAGAAUGUUUUAUGGUUAUGAAACUGUGAAAGUGUCAAAAACAAGUCCUGCCUGUUCCUCUGCAUGAUCUGAUUUAUUUAGCUGUUGAAGUUUCUCACAAGGACUCUGACAGAAGCAUGUAAGAGACAACAUGGAAAAACCCAAGAGACAAUUUAAAAGAAAAAUAAAAAAAAAUUUCAACUACAUAACAUACUGUACUGUGAAACACACCGACUGUAUUUCUUGCACCCACAUGUCUUUUCAGUCAAAAACGUAAAUUACAGGAACUGUCACCCUAGAAAUUUAAGUUUUCUGGAGUGGCGACUAAUUAACAGGGGUCUUGGGGCAAAACUGAACUCAUUUAUUUCACACAUUUUAAUUUACUAGUGCAGGGUAGGUUGCUUGGCCACCUGCAUGGCUGAUUAGGGCUGUCUCCAGAACCAUUGCACCCAGCAAUACACCCGCCAAGGGUGAAGUCGAUUGGAUGAACAGACACACACACGAAUACACUAUAUACUAUGAUGCAGGCUCCUUCAUACUUGCAGAUUAGUUUGAUCAGAUUAAAACCGCAACCCACUAUCAAUUCUGUCGAGGACAAACCCACCACAGUCAUUUUCACUUGACCUUUUUUGCCAUAUACUGCAGUUUAUCUAUCGUUAUCCUAACAUACAUCCUAACAUUUUUAAAAUAUCUUUGCACUUUGAUUUUUGUGGGCAGUACAGAGUCAUAAAAAGGUGUAAGAGGUAGAAAUAUCCACCACUGUAGCUGUCAGUCUCCUGAAAAAGCCUCAGUGUUUGGCACCAACUGAUUCUCAAACCUGCAUCCUGCACUCCCACAAUGCAGCAGCAGGUCGGCCUGGCCCGCAGCCACACAAACAAGACUGUUAACUGCUGAACAGAUGGAGCCAAGUAAUACCAGCUAUGGGGAGCAGGGACAUGUUUAAUAGGCCACUUCUUUAGGAACAGGUUGUUUUGGCCAGGCGGGCUUCCAUAGGUGGUAGAUUCAC